CCUACGGGAGGCAGCAGUGGGGAAUAUUGGGCAAUGGGCGCAAGCCUGACCCAGCAACGCCGCGUGAAGGAAGAAGGCUUUCGGGUUGUAAACUUCUUUUCUCAGGGACGAAGAAAGUGAUGGUACCUGAGGAAUAAGCCACGGCUAACUACGUGCCAGCAGCCGCGGUAAUACGUAGGUGGCAAGCGUUAUCCGGAUUUACUGGGGGUAAAGGGCGUGUAGGCGGGGAAGCAAGUCAGAUGUGAAAACCACGGGCUCAACCUGUGGCCUGCAUUUGAAACUGUUUUUCUUGAGUACUGGAGAAGCAGACAGAAUUCCUGGUGUAGCGGUGAAAUGCGUAGAGAUUAGGAGGAACACCAGUGGCGAAGGCGGUCUGCUGGACAGCAACUGACGCUGAGGCGCGAAAGCGUGGGGAGCAAACAGGAUUAGAUACCCUUGUAGUC
rnacentral:rRNA from 1 species